rnacentral:rRNA from 1 species
GACGAACGCUGGCGGCGUGCUUAACACAUGCAAGUCGAACGGAAAGGCCCUGCUUUUGUGGGGUGCUCGAGUGGCGAACGGGUGAGUAACACGUGAGUAACCUGCCCUUGACUUUGGGAUAACUUCAGGAAACUGGGGCUAAUACCGGAUAGGAGCUCCUGCUGCAUGGUGGGGGUUGGAAAGUUUCGGCGGUUGGGGAUGGACUCGCGGCUUAUCAGCUUGUUGGUGGGGUAGUGGCUUACCAAGGCUUUGACGGGUAGCCGGCCUGAGAGGGUGACCGGCCACAUCGGGACUGAGAUACGGCCCAGACUCCUACGGGAGGCAGCAGUGGGGAAUAUUGCACAAUGGGCGGAAGCCUGAUGCAGCAACGCCGCGUGCGGGAUGACGGCCUUCGGGUUGUAAACCGCUUUCGCCUGUGACGAAGCGUGAGUGACGGUAAUGGGUGAAGAAGCACCGGCUAACUACGUG